rnacentral:tRNA from 1 species
GAGGGUAUAGCUCAGUGGUAGAGCAGGUGCUUAGGAUGUACAAGUUCAUGGGUUCAAUCCCCAGUAUCUCCU